rnacentral:rRNA from 1 species
UACGUAGGGUGCGAGCGUUGUCCGGAAUUAUUGGGCGUAAAGGGCGUGUAGGCGGCUUCGUGUGUCCCAUGUGAAAGCCCUCGGCUCAACCGGGGAACUGCAUGGGAAACUGCAAAGCUUGAGUCCGGGAGAGGUGAGUGGAAUUCCCAGUGUAGCGGUGAAAUGCGUAGAUAUUGGGAGGAACACCGGUGGCGAAGGCGGCUCACUGGACCGGUACUGACGCUGAGACGCGAAAGCCAGGGGAGCAAACGGGG